AUAACAGGUCUGUGAUGCCCUUUAGAUGCUCUGGGCUGCACGCGUGCUACAAUGUUAGGAUCAAUAGGAUUUUUUACUUAGCGAAUCUGAAAGGACGAGCUACUCCUAUAAUCCCUAACGUAGUUGGGAUUGACGUUUGUAAUCAGCGUCAUGAACCAGGAAUCCCUUGUAAAUGUGUGUCAACAUCGCACGUUGAAUACGUCCCUGCCCUUUGUACACACCGCCCGUCG
rnacentral:rRNA from 1 species